CUGAAGGGCAGGCGAUAGUGAUACAGGCUUACAAAGGAAUGCAAGCCGUGAAUACGGGGUACACCACGGCAUCAUCAUCACGUGCACCAACAACAACAACGCUUAGAAAGGCUUCAACGAUAGCUGAAUUUAAACUGCUGGAAGGUUUUUCCCCCACAAGAUAUCCACAGAUUUUUUCUCCUUAUAUUACAGCGUAUGAGAGCAAAGGAGGGAAAAUGCAGGAAGGGAUUUCAUACAUUAUUCUGGCGAUAACCAGAUAUACCUGGUUUUACUGGACAAAUAGGCCUAGGAUAAAUAGGAUCCAGCAGAAAGUGAGGUACAGGAAAUCCACCAGGGACCCAAGCGGCAACCAGGAAACAUCGAUGCAUCAGCACAAGAAUUAACCUUAUGUCGACCAAGUCUUCCACCCCACAUCAGGGCUCAAAUUACGACUGACUGUUGCCCAAUGCAUGCCGAAUCACAAUUUUAAUAGGGCUACGCUAGAGUAUAAUACAGUAUAUACAUCGCCACCCAUGUGGCCUGGGGGUGUUUCAUAAAGCUGUUCGUAAGAUAAGAACGACUUUAAGAGCGACUGGUGAUUCUUUCUUUUGGUAAAUGGUGUACACCAUAGGCGACGGUUUAGCGCGUAAAAAAGGACCACCAGUCGUUCUUAAAGUCACUCUUAACUUACGAACAGCUUUAUGAAACGGCCCCAAAGGAGAAUGUUGCUUCAAAGGCGUCCUCGUGAGACUAUCCUACGGUGAGAUAGGUCUGACGUCCAUCGCGGUUCACCGGCCAAGUCUGUUUCCAACUUAAGAGAGCCUACAACACGCAGGAUCACCACAGGAAGGUAGAAGGCGUGGCAGUGUACUUCGGUCGACGAUACAGAUACGAUGGCCUUUACGACUGGAAAGUUCCCCCAAUGCAGAGCAAGAAUUAACCUGGCGUCGACCAAGACUUCAAGAUUUGCUGGUGGUCAACGAUCUGUGAGCACCUCAUGCAUCACGGGCCAAAAACUUGGAGUGGAACAGGCUUAUGUUCGAGUAGGUCAGCGAGGAAAAGAACAGGUUUUCAUUAGGAGAUGGUGGCGGGUCAGGUGGAUAGGAGAAUAUUGCUUGGAUUGGAAGGCAUCCGCAUGGGGUUAUCUUUCGGUGAGAUGAGGUCUGAUGCCACUAUGCUGAUCAUUCAAUUCGAUUUGCCGUUUGAAUGCGAGGACCCAGUUUUACUAUUAGAAGGAUCGAGGAGGAUGUGGAUAACGGACUCCGGUCGAUGGCCAUGCCGAUCCCCAUGGUUGGAAGGUUCACCCGAUGCAGUCUCGUCAUGGUGAGGGUUGAUCAAAGAUCCAGUUGGUCUUCUGUAUGUCUUCCGCUGGCCCGAGCCCAGGGACUUUACGUUAUGACCAGGGGCGGAUCCAGGAUUUUCCAAAAGGGGGGACAAAUUUUUCGGAGGAAAAUUUUGGCAAGCCCCCCCCCCCAAAAAAAAAAAAAUAAUAAAAUAGAAAAAUAAAAAUAGUUCGUAUACACAAAAAAAAAAUUGACAAGAAAGAAAAGAUGGUCUUAAAUUUCAGAAGAGGGGGCAAACCUCUGUUUUAAUGGCAUUUUUACAUUACAAAUUUUAAUUUUGCUUCUCACCCCUAUGCCCCCCUCGAUCCGCGCCUGGUUAUGACUAAUAUGACCCAUUCCCAUGAUCUGUUUUGGGUUUUCAUGGCGUUAUUCAGAUAAACAUUGGGACCUUUCGCAAUCCUAACGGACGCUAAUAUUAGGGUCCCCUAACACAAAAGUUAACGCUUAAUCAUACACUUGAUUUUUAAGAUUGAUUGUGCAUAAUAGUCAAUAGAAUCAAUCGUAGAAAACUGCUCUACAACCAAUGCUAAGCUUUGUGUUACAGGCCCAACAGAUCUGCUUUUCGUGUGCAAAAUCCUUUUCCGCGACACCCGCACCAUACAUGCAUGUAUAUUACGACUGAUCGAUGGCUGGAGAUAUUCGAAAUACAGACCUAAAAUAGAUUAUGACAUGGAUAAGAAAGUGGUUUUUCAAACAAAUCGAGUACAUAUUGAGUGAGGAAAAAACUUACUGAAUGAAGGUUUAGAUAUAGAUCAUUACAGUUCAUCGAAUCGAUAUGAUGUGGAUUAUUGGUGUAUCACUGGCAAUUAUUGAUUUCAUAGGUCAGAUCAACCUCUCCAGCCGAACAUUUCGCGUGAGUUGAUAUGUGCACACCAUAUGCAAUACGUUUGAACUCGUUUCUUUUUGUUUCUUUUGUUUCUUUUGUUUACUCUUUCUACACAAACGAUAUGCCUCUCGCACACGAUGUAAUGGGCAUUAUGUUUUACUUUCCCCAGAAAUGGGGGAUUAUAUUCAAAUUCCAGGGGGACCACUUCCAUUGAUGAGUGGAUACCAGGCACGACCAUUGGGUUUCGAAAAGUACCCUAAACAAGGGAAGUAAUUCUUUUCCAGAUUAUGAAAAUGCAUCUCUUAAAAAGAAUUUGGCUUGUGAAACCCUACCAGUACUGGAUAUAUAUCCCUUUUUUGUCAGCAUUUUAAAUAUCGUUUUGACACCCUUAUAACGUUACAUAGGCCUAUACGUAACGUACUUGCCCACUCUGUCCCCUUUUACGCGUGGUCGCUCCUGGUAUCCACUAAUCAAUGGAAGUGGGCCCCCGGGCGGCCUCUCGAGCUCUAGGAGGAGUCAAAUGUGGCUUUGGAAAGUCGUCCUCAAUCGGAUAUAUCGCUGUUACCAGGGGUUACCAUAGAAGCAACCAAAAUUUUGCACACGAAACGCAUAUUGAAUGUUUCUGUCGCAGAUGCGAAACGAAAAAAAAUCUCAUGUCACACAAUUUGCAUUGCAGGACAGAGUUUUACGACUAUGAUGAAGGGCCCAAAAAGUCUCUUCCAAAAUAAACUAACGUCGUAAAUAAGCGUGCGCGUCCUCAAACGAAAGGUCGGGAAUAACGUAAACUGGGCCCGUCUUACAAAGAGUUACGAUCAAUCGUAACUCUAUGGAAAUCCAUCAAUGUCGUAUUUUUUCGACAGGAAAUUUGCAAAAUGUCCUUUGUAAACAAGGAGAACACACCAAAUUGUCAAUAAAUCAAUGAAUUUAUGGAUAUACAUUCAUAUCUAGAUUUUUUUUUAACAGACAUGCCUUUCAUAAUGUUGACUUUGCUGGCUUUCCACAGUUUCGAUUGAUUGGAUCAAUCGCAACUCUUUGUAAGACGGGACCCUGGUGAAAAACUAUAGGUAACACAACCUUUGCCGACUACCUUGAGUAGGGAAUGUUUGUAUUUUACACAUUUACUGUAUGUGAAUUCUCAACUGGUUUCUGUUUAAUUUGCGGGGUGUUCCCAUGCAUGCUGUGACAUAAAGUCCCUGAAUUUCUCAAGGAAGAGGCUGUAUAAUGUCAUCAUGUCAAACAUAAUAAUAAUGAUUGUUUAAUGUUUCAUUAGGAUUUUAGCAGAUAUACCGCAUGCGGUUCAUGGCGAUGAAAAAAUGAAUUGAAUAACUGAUUGUUGAAGAAAUAUGCCUUUGGAGUCUUUUAAAAUGACAUCGUCUUCUAAAGCUCCAACGCUUUGCUUCGAUCCUUGCACUGUUCUCUCGAAAUCUCAUUAUUUCACACUCCUAUUUAUUCCUUAUAAAACUGCCUUUUCAUAGGCCUAUUCGGGGUUCAGUAUAGCAGCGUUUAUAAAUCCGAGGGCAGCAUGCAGUUUGAGUGGGCAGAAUUUUUAUUGAUGAAGAUGAAUAUGGGGCCUGAUAUUUAUAAUACAAAAGCUAAAUGCACUUGGCCAAAAAUUAAGCUUGGGGUUUGAAUACCAUGAAUUCCACAUCUUUUUUUUUGCUCAGAUGCCUCGCUCACUCAUCUAUUAAAUGUGUUUUUUUUUUAGAUUAUCCUUCAGAAUCUCAUAAUAUUUUUACAAAACUUGUUCGUUAAAAGGUUCAACAUUAAUUCGGUUACUUACGAAAGGAAUAUGCUUUGAAUAUUUGUCAUUUCUUAAACGAAACAGCAUAGCCGGUGGAAGUGGGGAGGGGGGCAGGAUCAUUUCAAAACAGGUAUAAAAGUGUGGGGAGAAACACGCAUAUUCAGUGGAAAGUUCUGAUCACAUACGUGAUCGUAGAACUUCCCCCUCCUCCAAAAAAUGUGAAAGCUCGCAUUUUUUCGUUCAAAAUUUAUCUGAAUUAAAAAUAAACGUUACGCGCCUUUUCAUUUUAUAUGUGGCCUUAGCGGCCGCCAAAAUCUUAAUGCGAAGGAACAAGCACCCGUUUUUUUGUAAAUAGUAUAUAAAUAUUUAAAAUGCAAAAGAAUAUUACAUUGUAAAGUUUGCAUGAAAGUGGCUCCAAUGGUGACAUGUGUCUAAUAAAUUCAUAGCCAUUGUGCUCUAUGCCCAUAAAACUAACAGAACAUACACUGAAAUUAAAUGGUAAAGAUGAUCAAAAUAAAAUAUUUUUCGUGUUUUCAUAAUUAAAAAAAAAACAAUGAUUUGAAAGUAGAAUCAUAAAAAAUGAGAAAUAAAAUUAUGUCCCUUCUUCUGUCGGCUAUGCUGCGUACUUAUGUUUCCUUUAUGGGUUGUUUUACAAUCAGGGAAUAUCAAUUAAAAAUGCUCUCUGUGCAUCAUAAAAAGUAAUGUUAUUGUAAUCUCAAAUCUACGAUGGCAAGUUAUAUGACACUUUGAUAGCAGACUGCGAAGAAGAAAAAUAUUGAACUAUACAUUCAUUAUUAAAAAUUGACCAUAAUUUACUGUCUUAUGUCUUUCAAUUUUUUUUAAUUUCGAGCCUGCGCAUGUAUUAUGCAGCCUUGUGCAUCGUCUCACCAAUUAUAAUUGAUUAUUGAAAUCGUUUAAAUUUCUAAAUUCUUAAAAGCUUCAGACAGUUUUUAUUUUAGGGAAAAAUUACUUGAUUGAUAAUGUCUUUGUCUAUACUUGUGUAGUAAUAUGCAAAACUCUUAUAGACGGUUCACUUUGCUCACUUCCGCUUAUUUUUUUUCAGACGUUUCUCGUUCCACUGUCCAAAAUUACCCCCUGCGAAAAUUGAACACAAACAAGAAAAGUUUGAAAAGAAACUCAAAGCUACAUUUUUGUCAAAUUAGACAGCUGAUCGAGUUUACCCUGAUUGUAUAACAGCCGAUAAUCAUAAUAAAAGCCGUCAGAACAAUACUUCGCUGUUGAAUGCUCCAUGUGAAAUGUCAAACGUCGUCUGUUGAUCAAAUGAUGGUUUAUAACAUAGUGGUGUGGAUCCUUGUUAAAUAUUGGCGGCGGAAGCCAACAAAUUUAGGGGGGUCCACCUGAAAUUUUGGGAUGAACAAAGGUAAAAAUUGGACAAGCAGAAAUUUUAGGGUGGGGGGUCCGCCCCCACCUCAAAUUGAGGGGGGACAGGACCCCCCCCCCCGCUUCCGCCUAUAUUGUAAAACUGUCCUAAUCUCAAAGGAAUGACCUGUCUGUAUAGAACUGGUCAUAAGAACAAGUCAUCAGCAAAUUUUCAUGUUUGCUAAAACAAAUGAUUGGUCACGUUAUCGAUUUCAUCCAAUCAUUUGUUUGUGAUCCAUAUCACCAUUUUAUAAACAUAAGUAAAUGAUUGUUACACCCUUCUUCUGGCUACUUGUAUUUAUUCUUGUAUCGGUAACUCCCUCGCCCCCCCCCCCCCGCCCCAUCCCUCCCUGCUCUCUAUCUCUCUCUCUCCCUUCAUAUUUUUUUGCAUUUCCAUCACUUAACUUUAUGAUUUCUCAUAUUCUUCUAUAUUGCUAAAUGUUUCUUUUGAAUCAUAUUCAUUCUAUCUGAUAUAUGAUUUCAAAUUCAUUCUUUAUCAUUUUAUUCUUUCAAGAAUGACAAAAUAGUCCUUAAUCCACUACCCCUUCACAUCCGGGUUAUCUCGAACGCUCUCUUUCAAUUCUCCUUUCCAUUCUUGUUCAUUGCGGAUUUUGCAAUUCAUCUUCAGCAACCUUUCACCUCCUCUCACCUUACCUCAAACUGUUCUUACCCGAUUGGUGUUGGUCUGUAACUCUGGCUCCAUCACAUCCACCUUUACCGAUGGCUCUUUUAUCCUUGUCAAACGAUCUCAUCAUCCCUUCCAUCUCAAAUGACAACCCUUUCUCUUUCCCUCCCUUUCAUUAACCUCCCUCCCAGCUCUCUCACAUACAAUCACAUCCAGCUUUACUAACGGUUUUUCAUCCUUGUCCAACGCUCUCACCAUCCCAUCUACCUUCUCAACAAGACAACCCCUUUCUUUUUCCCAACUCCUCAUUCUAUCACCCUUUAUUUCUGUUCCCCCUUCUCUCUCCCGCCUUACCCUUGGAUGUGGGGAAAAAGAGUGAACUUCAGUAAAUGCAAAUGCGAAUAAAGCUGAUCAAACAAUUCAGCAAAGAAAAAAAACCUUCCAAUUAUCUUCAGAAGCAAAAGUUUGUGACAGAAACACUCAAAAACUUUAUUCAAACUAGAUAUAUAUCCGUUAGUACUGCCAAUUUAAAGUAAAAGGCCUAUUUAUUCUUGUUCUGUAAAUUCUAUAUUUUAUCCAUGUACUGCGUCUCUUCAAAGUGA